CCAACCAGCCAUUAGUCUGAGCUUAAUUUGCUUGCUUUGAGCUACCUAUUUUUUGGCUUCCCGGAAGCACGUUUUGCCCGUCGCUGCUUCCUUUGUUAACGAUCAUUUAUUAUAAAUAUGUUGUAUGGAAGAAUCUGUUAAGCUCAGGAGGGAUAGCGCCACUGUUAUUGCCAUGGAAAAUGGCUCUUCUGUAGCGCUAUCCAUCCUGAGUUUCAUAGCUUCUUCUUACUGUUUCUCUUUCUCUCUAGAGACUCUGCACAUGAAGGAUCUUGGUUCUCAUUUGGUUUUACAGUGAAUAGUUUGGAUUCCAUCAGAAUUGAAGGCAAGGUUAGGCUUUAUUUGGCCUUAUCUUUCACUCUUUUUGAACUUUCUCUGAUAUUUUUUCCCACUUUUCAGGUGACUGUAUUUCCACGCUUCCUUUUUUUCGUCCACUAAAUUAUAUCUAUCAUUAUUGACCAACCCCAUUUUUGUGUUUUUUAUACGUUUCAAUUUGGCCUUUGUAAUACAUGACAAACAUGUAGUUAUGACUUGACCUAACCGGAUGAAAUUAACCAUAAAGAGGGUUCAUUAAUUACAGAUUUAGUGCUUAUCUUUUAACCCAUUUUGGCCUCCAGAUCAUUAGUCAAAGGAGGCUUUGAAUUGACAUGCAAUAAGUUGUGAUAGCGUGAAACAUGUGACAAAUUUUGUUUUAUAUUGUUUUAUAAAGAGAUGGCUGAGGAAACAUUUUCAGUUGCAGGAGGCGCAAUUCAAGCAGGAAGUCUCCAAAUCCCACAUAUUUUUUUACUACUUGUAUGUUUUAUUACCAGAAAUUGUAACACUCUUGACUAAAAUGAUGAAUUUGAGG